CAUCCUGGUUGACCCGACUUCCCACGGUGUGUGAUGAAGUUGUAGGGGUUGGUCAGGACAGAAUUUAGGUGACAUGCACAGGCUUCAGCUAACCUGAAAGAUUGUCUUUCUUUUUGGUGAUUAUCAACAUACAUCUACUUGUCCAUGAUAUAGGAAAACUACGAGAAGACUACAAACAAGCUCAAGUGUCUACAGAAGAGUUACAGGCCCACCCUUUCACUGAUGUUACCCUUUCCUGUCAUUUCUCCUUUGUGGAGGGCACAGAAAAUCUGGAGUUUUCUUGGGAAAGAGAAGACAUCAAAGAGGAAUAUGAGGUAGAGGAUAAUAAAGAAUAUUACUGCUUUUUCAGGUACUUUGAUUUUUUUGAAGUUUUCUCAAAGUUAGUUUACCAAUUUCACAAUAACACAGAGCAAACUAGAGGACCAAAACUCCUUGUAUGAGGGGAGAGUCUCCGUGGAUCGGGAUGAAAUUUUCUGAGGAGACCCUAUCGCUUUUACUAAGAAGUGUGGAUUUCCUGGAUGAAGCUAUCUACAAGUGCUCAGCCAUCACACCAAGCGGAAGAUGCGAAAGUGCAGUUAGACUAACAGUAGAAGGGAAGGGUUGGAUUAACUUGGUUUUAAGCUCUGUCUCUGUUCACAAAGAUAAACUAUAAGUUUUCUUUCCCGGUAUUCUCACUUUUUCUCUUCUACUCAAGUUAUUAUAGAUACUUCUUGAUCCCAUCAUGAGAGUCAGGUACUUGGAAUGUCAGUUCAUUUUAGCUAAAAACAUUGCUCGGAACCAAAGGUGUUACAUCUGCACCUGACUACAUCAUUCAUUAAUUCGAACAAGCAAACAAAACAUAAAAAAAAAAAAGUGACACUGGUCCUAUCCCAAACGCACCAAACAAAUUGUUACAUGGAAGACCAAAAUGUUACAUAAGACUCCUACAUGAAAGCUCUGAGAUAUGAUGUGUGGUUUAGUGAGAAGAGCCCUGUGCUGGGAGUCAGGAGGCCCAAGUUCUUAUUCUAUGAAUCGGGUAAAUCAUUUAGCUUUUCCAGGCUUCAUUCUUUUACUAUUAAAAGGUAAGACUGCGCUGGACCAGUGGAUUGCCAUAGUGCCCCAAGGAUACUCACCCUUUUCAGGAUUACAUAGAGAGUGGUCUGCUCCUCAUCAGAGGACUCAUGAAGGUGGAGAGAGGCAUGGUAGAGUUCCUCAGGGUAAGGGUUGGAAGAGAUAGGAAGGUACAGCUGAGAAUCAUGUGUUAUCUUCUGUGAUUCUCGGCAGGCUUGUCUGAGGUUAGCAGAAUCUGAAAUGAACCCUCCCCGCCAAGAAAGGGAAGAUGCCAAAAAUAAAGGCAGCAGUGGUAGAUGAGACCUGAAGGGCAAGAGCAUGUGUGUAUCCUGAUAUUCUCUCACUGUGCCUUGAUCUGAAUUUUAACCACCAUGAACCUCAAGAUGUGAGGCUUACAUAAGGGUUAAUGUAAAAACUCAGGGCAAGAUUUCUGCUAGCCUCAUCCUCUGGGGCUGGAAUUAAAAAAGGAACUAAUUGUUUUGUUAGUUUUUCCAACCAGACUCUGAAAUGCCCCAGGGGCUGUUUGAUAAGAUUGAUGAUGAGGACGAGGCCACGUGCAUCUCUAAGGGCUGGCACCUCACGCCCAACGUGAUCUGGCUGGACCGGGAGGAGAGGGACCUGAGCAACCACAGCACCAUGGAGGUCCUGGAGGAGCAGACGAAUGGCUUCUUCAGAGUGUUCUCUGUCCUGAAAUACCCUGUCAGGUUAAGUGAGAACUAUGUCUACCGCAUAACAGAGACAGAUGUGAACAACCAGCCCUUCAGAGUCGUCCACAGGUACCCGAGUAAGUGAGUUAUAGCAGGCUGUAUUUCAGCACAGAGGAGUCAUCACACAGUAAUACUGACCCAGUGCCAAAUGUGGCAGGUGCUCCUGGGCCCUUUGGAGACUUAAAGAAGCUCAGGAACAGAAGCUGGUAGCCUGGGGCAGGAGAAGGUGGUGAGGUGGAGUCUCUUUGGGUUUGAAAAAAGAUCACACUUCAGAGGUUGACAGCUUUCACCCCGUCGAUGUGGCUGUUACUAUUGAUGAGGAUUUUCUCCCUCUGCUGAGGACAUCAGCUUUAUGAUGUGACAGGCCAAGUAAUCAUAGCUGCCGUCUAUCAGCCUCUCACCUCGUGCCUGGCACUUCACAUGUCAUUUUAAGUGCUUGCCUCGACCCUGCAAGGUAAUUGUUAUUGCUGCCCCUCUCCUGUGUGAGGAAACCCAGAAGGCAAAUCAUUUGAUCAAGGACAUGGCUAAUAAGUACAUAAAUUAGAAUUCAAACCCUUUCUUAUCUGAACCCAGAAUUCAUGCACUUUAUUUUCUUACACCAGGCAUUUAUAUAUCUAAGACUGUAGACUGCAUGAAGAGGUCUAAAUCAUCUAGGCUUGGAGAAGGGGAGCUCCUGUGUGAUAAGUAAUGAGACUAGGAGUGAAGUCACUGCACCAUUCAUAAAUCUUGGAAAGCCCUAAGAUUGCUAUCUAACUACACUCUGCAGAACUCUGUAGUUCCUUGGGAGAAAAUUUGAUGGAUUAUUUUUUAUAUGUCUGUUCUGUUACUUCUAAAUUGUGCCUGCAUUCUUCAAGGAAGGAUUCAAGAACUUGAAAAAGCAUUUAGGAAAAGGAACAUGUAUUUAUUGAACACCUACUGUGUGUUAGGGUGGUACCUAGGUACCUUCACAUGCCAUAUUUAACACCACAGUGACUUCUGAGGUAGAUGCCCCCAUUUAACAGAGGAGGGAACUGAGGCUGAGGAGAAGGUAAAUUAUUGAAGGCUACAGAGCUGGAAGUGUUAGAACCCAGGAUUUGAACCCAGGUUUAACUAUUAACAAAGGCCUGGGUACUUUCUGCCCUACCAUGGCUGACUCAGGGGCAUUCAGUUCCGGAGCCUCAGGCAGUGACUGAUCUAGGCUGCUACCUGCGUCCCACCUGCUCUCCUUCAAGGAGAAAGGGGAUGGUGAUGAGUAAACAUGCACGUGAGCUAAUUCCUUCUACUUUCCUGUGGCUCCAACUCAGACUUCCUUGGAGGGUUAGAUCUGGCAAGGACUUUGGCUGUCAUCUUCUACUAACCACAGCAUGUGGCAGUGAGGAAACAGAAGUCCAAAGAGGUGGAGUAGUUGUCCAAGGGUGAACAGCCUCUAUACAAGGAGUGACAAUGGAGUCUGGCUUCAUGCAAAGGUUGGAUGGCCACCCUUCAGGUUUAGUCUAUAUGGGCCUGGCAAUUAAUCAAACAUUCAAGACACUUUUUUUAAACCCUGGAUCUCCCAGUAACUAGCUGUGAACAUUAUACAACUGUUAAAACUAUUCACUAACAUUUUUAAUGACAUGGGGAAAGGCUUACAAUAUGCUGUCAAAUUUUAAAAAGCAAGAUGUAAGCUUGUAUGUGUAGCAUGAGCCCCAGUUGUUUAACUGUAUGCAGAUUAAAAAGAUAGGAAGUACAAUAAUAAUAAUAGUUAACAACAAUUACUGUCUACCUGCAUGAUGGGAUUAUAGGCAACUUUUAUUUUCUUCUUUGUACUUCUGUGUUAUGUAACAUUCUACAAUGAACAGAUAUUAUUUUUAUAGUCCAAAAAUGCUAUACUUUAAAAACCUUUUUAAAAACAUUUUCAUGAGA